CCUACGGGUGGCAGCAGUGGGGAAUAUUGCACAAUGGGGGAAACCCUGAUGCAGCGACGCCGCGUGAGCGAUGAAGUCUUUCGGUAUGUAAAGCUCUAUCAGCAGGGAAGAAAAUGACGGUACCUGACUAAGAAUCCCCGGCUAACUACGUGCCAGCAGCCGCGGUAAUACGUAGGGGGCCAGCGUUAUCCGGAUUUACUGGGUGUAAAGGGAGCGUAGACGGUUUUGCAAGCCAGAUGUGAAAGUCCGGGGCUCAACCGCAGGACUGCAUGUGAAACUGUAAGGCUGGAGUGUAGGAGAGGCAGGCGGAAUUCCUAGUGUAGCGGUGAAAUGCGUAGAUAUUAGGAGGAACACCAGUGGCGAAGGCGGCCUGCUGGACGGUGACUGACAUUGAGGCUCGAAAGCGUGGGGAGCAAACAGGAUUAGAUACCCGAGUAGUC
rnacentral:rRNA from 1 species